CUAGUACGGGAGGCAGCAGUAGGGAAUCUUCCGCAAUGGGCGAAAGCCUGACGGAGCAACGCCGCGUGAGUGAAGAAGGAUUUCGGUUCGUAAAGCUCUGUUGUUAGGGAAGAAUGAUUGUAUAGUAACUAUAUACAGUAGAGACGGUACCUAACCAGAAAGCCACGGCUAACUACGUGCCAGCAGCCGCGGUAAUCUAG
rnacentral:rRNA from 1 species